rnacentral:snRNA from 1 species
AUACUUAACGUGACAGAAGAGAUGCCAUGAGCAUGAGGUGGUUUUCCCAGGGUGAGGCUUAUCCAUUGCACUUUGGAUAUGCUGACUCCUGUGAUGUCUCCAAAUGUGGGAAAUUGGAUAACUUGUAGUAGUGUCAGACUGUGUUCAUGCUUUCC